rnacentral:rRNA from 1 species
GGCGGCCACAGCGACAGGGAAACGCCCGGUCCCAUCCCGAACCCGGAAGCUAAGCCUGUCAGCGCCGAUGAUACUGCCCUUCUCGGGUGGAAAAGUAG